GACGAACGCUGGCGGCGUGCUUAACACAUGCAAGUCGAACGGAAAGGCCCUGCUUUUGUGGGGUGCUCGAGUGGCGAACGGGUGAGUAACACGUGAGUAACCUGCCCUUGACUUUGGGAUAACUUCAGGAAACUGGGGCUAAUACCGGAUAGGAGCUCCUGUUGCAUGGUGGGGGUUGGAAAGUUUCGGCGGUUGGGGAUGGACUCGCGGCUUAUCAGCUUGUUGGUGGGGGAGUGGCUUACCAAGGCUUUGACGGGUAUCCGGCAUGAGAGGGUGACCGGCCACAUUGGGACUGAGAUACGGACCAGACUCCUAAGGGAGGCAGCAGUGGGGAAUAUUGCACAAUGGGCGGAAGACUGAUGCAGCAACGCCGCGUGCGGGAUGACGGCCUUCGGGUUGUAAACCGCUUUCGCCUGUGACGAAGCGUGAGUGACGGUAAUGGGUAAAGAAGCACCGGCUAACUACGUG
rnacentral:rRNA from 1 species